UCAAGAUCCAAGUUGAAUAUUUUCUCCAUCAGAGAAAAUGGGAUUGACACAGAGAUUUUUAACAUCUUCCUUAAAAUUGCUUUCCUUGCAGUUGAAAACCCAGGCCAUGAUUCCAGGACACAUUGAAAGAGGAUGAACCAUGAUCUGUGACAAACAUACAACAGGCACUUCAUAUGACUGUGUAAUAUUUGUGAGGAUGCAUCUUAUGAAUCAACGUGGCAAUAAAAAACAUGCAAUGGAAAACAUCACUAACUUUGGCAGCAAAAACUGGCUUUGUGGAAAAUGUGCAAAUGAUCCUGGAAAAGGGUGUUUUAUCCCAAUACCAUAAAUUACAAGGAGAAACUUAUUGGGGAAAAAUGCAAGAAGCUGUAAAACAGAGAUGCAAAGACAUUGUUGGCGUUCUGAAGAAUGAUGGAAAUGUGAACAUUAAGGACAAAUAUUGAGUAACACUAUUAGGGGUUACGGCUGAAUGUAACACUGUGAUGUGCUGGAGCAUUUAAU